rnacentral:rRNA from 1 species
GACGAACGCUGGCGGCGUGCUUAACACAUGCAAGUCGAACGGGCCUGCCUGGCUUUGGUUGGGUGGGUGAGUGGCGAACGGGUGAGUAACACGUGAGUAACCUGCCCUCUUCUCUUGGAUAACUGCUUGAAAGGGCGGCUAAUACGGGAUGUUCUGGCUGCCUCGCAUGGGGUGGUUUGGAAAGAUUCGGCCUGGUUUUGGUUGUUUUGGUGGGGGAUGGGCUCGCGGCUUAUCAGCUUGUUGGUGGGGUGAUGGCCUACCAAGGCGGUGACGGGUAGCCGGCCUGAGAGGGUGGACGGUCACACUGGGACUGAGACACGGCCCAGACUCCUGCGGGAGGCAGCAGUGGGGGAUUUUGCACAAUGGGCGCAAGCCUGAUGCAGCGACGCCGCGUGAGGGAUGGAGGCCUUCGGGUUGUGAACCUCUGUCGCCGGUGAUGUAGGCUCUGCUUUGUGGGUGGGGUUGACGGUAGCCGGGGUAUGAAGUGCCGGCUAACUACGUGCCAGCAGCCGCGGUAAUACGUAGGGCGCGAGCGUUGUCCGGAAUUAUUGGGCGUAAAGAGCUCGUAGGCGGCUGGUCGCGUCUGUCGUGAAAUCCUCUGGCUUAACUGGGGGCGUGCGGUGGGUACGGGCCGGCUUGAGUGCGGUAGGGGAGGCUGGAAUUCCUGGUGUAGCGGUGGAAUGCGCAGAUAUCAGGAGGAACACCGGUGGCGAAGGCGGGUCUCUGGGCCGUGUACUGACGCUGAGGAGCGAAAGCGUGGGGAGCGAACAGG